rnacentral:tRNA from 1 species
GCCCAGCUGGCUCAGUCAGUAGAGCAUGUGACUCCUGAUCUCAGGGUUGUGAGUUUGAGUCCCAAGUUGGGUG